rnacentral:rRNA from 1 species
AACGUAGGUGGCGAGCGUUAUCCGGAUUCAUUGGGCGUAAAGAGCUUGUAGGCGGCGUCAUAAGUUGGACGUGAAAACUCCGGGCUUAACUUGGAGAGGCCGUUCAAUACUGUGAGGCUAGAGGGUGUCAGAGGGAAGUAGAAUUCCUGGUGUAGCAGUGAAAUGCGUAGAUAUCAGGAGGAAUACCCGUGGCGAAGGCGGCUUCCUGGGGGCACAUCUGACGCUGAGAAGCGAAAGCUAGGGGGAGCAAAACGGG